rnacentral:rRNA from 1 species
CCCUUAGAUGUUCUGGGCCGCACGCGCGCUACACUGAUGCAUUCAACGAGCCUAUCCUUGACCGACAGGUCCGGGUAAUCUUUGAAUCUGCAUCGUGCCGGGGAUAGAUUAUUGCAAUUAUUAAUCUUCAACGAGGAAUGCCUAGUAGGCGCAAGUCAUCAGCUUGCGUCGAUUACGUCCCUGCCCUUUGUACACACCGCCCGUCGCUCCUACCGAUUGGGUGUGCUGGUGAAAUGUUCGGAUCGGCCGUUUGUCGCGGUUUCCGCGUCAUGUGGCUGAGAAGUUCAUUAAACCCUCCCACCUAGAGGAAGGAGAAGUCGUAACA